rnacentral:rRNA from 1 species
UACGGAGGAUGCAAGCGUUAUCCGGAAUGAUUGGGCGUAAAGCGUCCGCAGGCGGCUAUGUAAGUCUGCUGUUAAAGAGUGAGGCUCAACCUCAUAAGAGCAGUGGAAACUACAUGGCUAGAGUGCGUUCGGGGCAGAGGGAAUUCCUGGUGUAGCGGUGAAAUGCGUAGAGAUCAGGAAGAACACCGGUGGCGAAAGCGCUCUGCUAGGCCGCAACUGACACUGAGGGACGAAAGCUAGGGGAGCGAAUGGG